rnacentral:snoRNA from 1 species
AAGACUAUACUUUCAGGGAUCAUUUCUAUAGUUUGUUUACAGUAUUUUCCUCCUAUCACGUGUCCUUAUCAAUGAGCUGCAGGUCCAAAAGA